rnacentral:tRNA from 3 species
GGCGGUGUAGCUCAGCUGGCUAGAGCGUACGGUUCAUACCCGUGAGGUCAGGGGUUCGAGCCCCUUCGCCGCUA